rnacentral:rRNA from 1 species
UGGGGAAUAUUGCACAAUGGGCGAAAGCCUGAUGCAGCGACGCCGCGUGGGGGAUGACGGCCUUCGGGUUGUAAACCUCUUUCAGCAAGGAAGAAGCGAAAGUGACGGUACUUGCAGAAGAAGCGCCGGCUAACUACGUGCCAGCAGCCGCGGUAAUACGUAGGGCGCAAGCGUUGUCCGGAAUUAUUGGGCGUAAAGGGCUUGUAGGUGGCUUGUCGCGUCUGCCGUGAAAACUCGAGGCUUAACCUUGGGCGUGCGGUGGGUACGGGCAGGCUAGAGUGCGGUAGGGGAGACUGGAAUUCCUGGUGUAGCGGUGAAAUGCGCGGAUAUCAGGAGGAACACCGAUGGCGAAGGCAGGUCUCUGGGCCGUUACUGACACUGAGAAGCGAAAGCAUGGGGAGCGAACAGG